UUAACUAUAUUUUUUAUGCCCCACCUACGAUAGUAGAGGGGCAUUAUGUUUUCUGGUCUGUGCCUCCUUUCGUUCGUUCGUGCGUCCGUCUGUGCGUCCGUCUGUGCGUCCGUUCGCUUCAGGUUAAAGUUUUUGGUCAAGGUAGUUUUUGAAGAAGUUGAAGUCCAAUCAACUUGAAACUUAGUACACAUGUUCCCCAUGAUAUGAUCUUUCUAAUUUUAAUGCCAAAUUAUAGUUUUGACCCCAAUUUCGUGGUCCACUGAACAUAGAAAAUGAUAGUGCGAAGUUCAGGUUAAAGUUUUUGGUCAAGGUAGUUUUUGAUGAAGUUAAAGUUACAUCAACUUGAAACUUAGUACACAUGUUCCCUAUGAUAUGAUUUUUCUAAUUUUAAUUCCAAAUUAAAGGUUUAACCCCAAUUUUCACGGUCCACUGAACAUAGAAAAUGAUAGUGCGAGUGGGGCAUCCGUGUACUAUGGACACAUUCUUGUUUG
rnacentral:lncRNA from 1 species